AUGGAGCGCGCGCGUACAGGGGAUACACGAUUGGCGCGAUGCGAUGUGUAGCGAGCGAAGCAUAGAUGAACGUCCGUAUGUGAAUCCAAAGGAUCCAGAGGAGCAGGAGAGGUUUCAUUAUUUAUUAUUAUCUUAUAUAUAUCGGUCGGCAUAAUGUAAAACAAAAAAUUGAAGAUUAUUAUUAAAGAGAGUACGCGCUUAGGGCGUAAACGUUGCGCGUAGCGUUUCUUUUUUUUGUGCUAGUUGUAGAUAUAUUAUUAUAUAUGCAGAAAAGAUGAUGACGAGAGAGGAAUCAUGCAUUAUUAUUGCGUCUCUAUUUAGCGAUAUAUAUAAUAUAUGAAUAUAGUUAGGACACACCGUUUAGUGUUUUUAUUUUAUUUUAUAAUAGGGAUGUUUGUUUGUUUUCUUUCCUCGAGCGGAAGAGAAUCGAGUCCCAGUUCGACGCGAUAUUACGCGGUCGCGGUGACUCGACGCGCCACAUGGCUUUUCCCGACUGCGCAGCUGCCAAGUCCUCUCACGAGAUCACAAACGUUCGAAAUUGAAAAAAUGCACGGUCAGUCCUAUACGAAUUACGGGUAUAACUAUGUAUACAAGAUUCAAAAUCGGUAUGCCCGUAUGUGGGCUUCAAACCUCUGAUGACUCGUGAGAGAAAGAGAGUCUCCGUGUCGGGAAAAGACGCGUCGAUUGUAUAUGAUCGUACGGAGCCUGUGGCACGUCGCGUCGCUGCGCUUCGUAUGCAAGUCGAAUUGAAUACGACUCGCGACCUUGAUCUCGGUUCCAUUGAGUCUUUAGAGAGACGGUAAGAGAGUACGCGCGGGCGUCUGUCGGUAUAUAACGAGAGCCGAUUGAGAGAUAUUGAGAAGGACUCCUUUGUGCUCUGAUUUUCGAUGGAAAAUUCUCUUUUGGAAUUGGCAUACCUCGUAUUACACACACACUUUGAGAACGAAUGACGGACUUGAAGUUACACGGAUUCAAUGGAGUACAAUUCCGUGGAAUUGUACUGCACUCGAGCGUCUCUAUCAGUCGUUCUCAACUGGCUGCUGUGCAAAGGAGUCCGUCGAGUCGUUCCACAAUCGGCCAGAGGAUUUAUCGACUCACGCCUGCGAUUCUCCGUGUAAAUAACGCGCGUAGUACGGACGCGAGAUAAUCGACUGGUCGACCGCGAUUGUUCUCUUGUAAUAGACUUUUUUUUCUCGUUUUCUCUUAUAGAAGAAUCGACCCUUAACUGCUUCACGAACACGUGGCUAAGUUACCAACGAUACGAUCGUACGCUUUUUUUUCUUCUUUUUGUUUUUCAUGUAAACGUGAAAAUUUCCUAUCGCAUAAGCAAUCUCGUUUAUACAUUUUUCUUUCUCGUCGAGCUCUUUCUUCUCUUGUCGGGAUAUUCGGAAGCGCGCGGCACUAAAUUGAAUGCUCACCUGAUAAAAUACCACAGACGAACCGUCCGAAUAUACUGACAAAAGAUGCUCUUUUUGAUAUACGAUGAUUAUUAUAUACAUACAUAAACGAUGAAUAGUGUGUAACGUAAAUACGUAAAAACUUCGUGAUGAUUGCAAUUCGAAGAGGAGAGCGGUUUAUAUAUAAAUUAUAUAUGUACACAGUCAAGUGAAUGAUAAGAAAGCAAGAAAGAUAACCCGGUGAAUAUUUCCUGCAGCGUUUCAAAAGUGCCGCGGGGCUUCUUGAAUAUUGUGUAAGUCGCGAAUUUAAUCAAAUAUACGGAAUUCUAAUAUUUACGCUAGUGGUGUAGUGUAUAUCGAGUAUUAUUAAUCGGUUUUUUGACUUCUUUUGAUCUUUUUCUUUAUUCUCAAAAAGAAAAGUCGAGUCGGAGGGACAGGGGGGAUAACAUACAAGACGGCGCUGACGACGAUUGGAAACGCAUAAACAGUAGGACACGAUUAGGGAUCCCGAGGUCGCCGAUACCGCGCGACGAAUACUGUGCUGUGUUGUAAAAUUAGUUCGACGCACUUGAAGGUUUUUACUAAACGAGUAUAUUAUACGAAAACGUAAAAAAUGAACCAGAGGCGCGUACAGUAAACGAUAUACGUAAUUGAGAUAAUACAUUAUUAUUAUUAUAUAUACACACAGAAUAGAGGGCGAAUUUUUUCGAGAGACAACGCGAGUUAUUGUCCACGCGAUCCACGGCUUCGUUAAACAAAAAAAGAAUAAAAUUAUAAAGGUAUAAAACGAAUGAUAAUAAAAAAAUAAUAUGUAACGGUGUAAUGCAUCGAGGAACUGGUGGUACAAAUCUGACUCUAUACUGAUUUCAUCGCAUCCGUUAUGAUACAAAAUGUUUGAAUUAUAUACGAUACACACCGAAUAACCUAAUUUAUGGCGACACGCUUUCUUUCGCGAAAAAAGAAACGAUUUUAAUAUAAAAAAUGAAAGAGGAGAAGAAAAACUGUGUAUAAAAUAUUUCCUUUCAUGAAUGUAUAUGUAAAAAUAUAUGUAUAAAUCAAAAAGCAAAAAACUUUCGUAUGUAUAUUACAACAUGAACUUUCACUACCCACAGAUUUGUCCCAGCUUCCUUACUCCUCGAUGUAUAGACGCAUCACAAACACACAUACACACCGAUAUACGUAAAAAUUGUGGUCUAGCGCGACUGCAGCCUUUCUUGCUGAAGAGAUUUAUUUAUAUAAUUAUAUUCCACUUUGGUAUACAGAGAGAACGGGAGCAAUGAACUGUAAAAAUGGCAGAGCAAAAAAAAAAGAUAUGUCCAGCCAAAACAAUCCGGAGCUACAGCAAUAAACGCACGUUGAAACGAGCCUCGCGUCGAUUUUUGAUCGAGCGGAGAGGGAGCUGAUGCCUCCCCCGCUGUCGAUAAAUCACGCGUGGCGCACGAUGCGUAUCACACGCGGCCGGCCCGAUGAAAGUGGAUAACGCGCUCGCCGGAUUUUCAGCUCGUACGCGCGCUCUCCUGGACUUCGUCGGCGCUCAUUUUUUUGAAAUUUUCUCGAAGCAAACUCGUUCGUCAAAAGGCUAUACGUUGAGAGAAAGAGAGAGAGAGAGACACACUCGUCACGAGUGCUAAUUGUGCAUUAAUCAGUCGGCCAAUCUAUAUGGGUCAGUUAAUAAUGGCAUCGAAGUAACGCGCGGGGCGCGGCUGCACGAGACAAAGCCGAGAGAGCGAGAGAUUUAUAGCCUCCUCGCGCCGUGUUUACUAUUGUUGCAACACCUCGUCGUGCGGCAAUGCACGCUAUAUAUAUAUGAAAGCUCGGCUCAAGUGCAGCGCGUGGUGAGCGUAGCUACUCGUGCGCUUCGGAUUUUUCGCCUUUGAAAUUGCGAGGAAAGAAUUUACGUUGAAUUUUUUUUAAAUUUAAGUUUUCAUCCCGAGAGUGUGGGAGACGCGCAGCGCGAAGUUAAAAAAAUAUCUUAUUUUAUACCUAUAAUAUAAAACGUGCAAUUAUCCCGUUUCCUCGGCGUCACCUCGUGGGAGACCGAUAUGCGAUCGUGAGAGGCGAGUCGACGCGGGGCCCGUUGAUGAUUGCGUUCGCCCGUGCAAAAAUUCAUGCACAUACACACCCCAUGUAUAGGCAUAUAAAGAAAACAAAGAGCUCGGCGUUGUAUCUCUCGAGUAUACGAAAAAAGUUGUAAUGAAAAAAGGACUCGAGGAGUAUAGUCUCGAAAGAAAAAAUAAUUGAGAGAAAAAAAAAUUGCGAAGAAAUUUUGUAUCUACUGGAUCUUUAAUAAAACUAUACUUACAUUAGGUAAACAUGUGAACGCGGUGGAGAGAUAUGUGUAGGCUUAACUAUGUAUACAUAUAGGGGUAUAAAUGCAAAUUAUAUAUUUUAUCUCUAUUCGUAUCUAUACCCGCGUAUAAAAAAAAGUUGGAAAACUCGAUGAAUAUGACGAUAUACGUAAACAAAAAAAAAAUUAAAUAAAUAAAUAAAGGAAGUACCGUGGAUGUGUAUGUAGAGUCCGUACGUAUAAAGUUUAAACAGAAAUUUAGUGCAUGCGAGAGAGUGUGAGCGAGAGCGAUAUGCAUUGCCGAAAAGAAAAAGCGAGAAGUGUGUCACUGUAAGCUAGCCCCUUUAUUAAGCAAGUAAGCUGUAUAACGUCUUCAAACAAAAAAAAUCUAUACAGAUCCUUAACGAUUAAGCGAAUUAAAAUAAUAAGAAAUCAUGUUAUAAAAGUCGGUUUCAGCGGGCGGGGGCGAUGCGGCGACGAAAUCAAUUGUUCUGCUGUACUUUAUCCGACUCACACACACUUACACAUUACAAACUGUCCGGUUUUUCAUUGGUGUUAUUAUAUCGAUGUCCUGCGGGUCAUGCGUUGUAUGAAGAAGCGACGAGGAAUAUCGUGCUCCACGAGACAUUAUGUAUACCUAAUUGCGUGAACGCACGAUCUUCUCCUCGAGACGAGAUUAUAGCAGUCAAAAACAAAAAUAAAGAAAGAAGGAAAUAAGACGAAAGAGAAAAAGAGCGAUUAAAGUUAAGUGGAUGCGAGGAAAAAGAAGCGUAUGAAGAAACGAUGAGAUCGUGGACGUUUGCUGAGAGAUGUAAAUACUGUAACGCUAUAUAUAAUGAUAUACCGAGAAUUGCCCGCAAAAGCCAAACGAAAUGUCUUAUGUGUAUACAGAUGCAUAUAUUAUAUAAUGGUCCGUAUAAUGAUAUUAUUUAGUUGCGUAGUAUUUAUUGAUACCAUAUUAUUAUGUGUUAUAUUAUAUACGUGAAAGGGGACACUAUUUGUUUUCACCGAAAUAUGUCUAAUAAAUAUUUUUCACAAUUGCAAAACAAAAAAAUAUCUGAGAAAUUCUAAGUAUACAAUGUUCAUGCCCCUCAACACACUAUUUUCAAACUUUCUUUCUUUUUCUCUCACACGACUUUUCUUAUACAUGCGUCCAGAUGCCAUUCCGAUGGAGAAAAACAAAAGAGCAAGAAUAAAGAUUUGUAUACUGUACCAAAAGCGAAAGAUUUCUCAUUUAAUUCUCGACUAAUCGGUCAAAAAAGUAUAUGACCAUACGGAUAUAUAUAAGUAAGAAGCCACGAGCCUCGUCCUCGCUCGCGCAAACUCCGAAGAGUUCCUGGCCCCCUGUCCUCACGACAGGCGUCAUUAUGUAGUCGCGUGUAUAGUUUAUGGCUCGGUAAUUUCCCCAAUCACCUGAUAAAGAUUCGUACAUUUAUCUUUCCGGUAUACGAGAGUAAAAUGAAAAAAAAGAAGAGAAAAAUAAAUUAUUCUAUCACCUGAAAGGAACCCCGAAAAUUCAUUUCGAGACCUUGAUGAGAUCACGUUGAUCACUCGCGUAAUUAUAGCCACUUGUUCCAGUAGGAAGUCGCGUCGGAUUAUCGUCCCAACACACACACACACACACACACACACACACACGCACACGACAGUGUAAAUUUGCUAUGCGAAACGCCGGGGAAAUGUUCAAACGACGAAACGUGAUCUCACCAACGGAUCUCCGCCGUACGAAGACUGACAAGCCUGAAAAUUCGCGCAAACUUGUAAUACGGGAAACAAAACCGGUGGCAAAAGUUCACUACCGUCUCCAAAGUAAAAAUGUAUGAUAAUAUGCUAAACUGCAGAAAAAUUAAAAUAAAUAAAUGAUGCGAGUACAAGUAUAGGACGUCGAAGGUGUCUCACUCAGUAUCUCGUUCCUUCCUCUCCACGUGUGCGUGAGAGCCUCAAGGUGCACACUCACACGUUCGCGAAACCGGUUGCCGCUGCAUUCUCUCGCGAUUAUCGGCAGUGGUGAGAGAGUGAGAGUGAGAGAGAGAGAGAGAGAGAGAGAGAGAGAGAGCGAACGGCGAGCCGUCUGACGUCGCGGCAUCGAAUCGCGUUAACCGCGCGAGCCCACUUCUCCCUUGUAUACGAUACCGCGUAGGUAAAGUAGGCACCUGUUUAGUAUACUUAAAGGGUUAACGAGAGAUGAAAGAAACGGUAGAGCGCAGAGAUUACUAUAAAACUAUACGAUAACUAUUUAUUACACGGCGUAUCUUUAUCUCGGCGUAAACUCGAUAUUAUAUUCCCCCACCGGAUGAAAAGAGAAAAAAAGUUAGACGAGUAUAGUACACAUGUAUUUACACGGUUCAUUCAUGACGUAGUCGGAUUGUGCAGAGUCACGAUGCAAAGUUGUAGUGUAAAAAAUGACAAUAUUGCGUGAGCCGCGACGUUGGGACGAGCCGUUAUAUGAUAUCCAUCUGUUGGUAGCCUUUGCUUCAUUAGAAAGCACUUCUCAAUUCGGUUUUUCAAGUUUUCGUAAAUACCUUCGACGAUCUCGUAUGUGAAUACUCGCAUCAAAUCACCGUAAAAAUUUGGAGGCCCUUGGCUCUUUUGAAGCUUGAAAAGCACCAGGUGAAGCACUUGCGUAUAUAGAUGAGAGCUUUUCUCGAAUACGACGCUGAAAUGCAUUGGGGAAAAUUAUACACGACGCGAAAACUGCAAGCCCGCGAGUUUUAACGCUGAUCAGUUGCAAUUUUUGCCGUCCUUCUAUAGCGUAUAAAAGUAUAUAUGAUAUAUAUGCGUAAUUUAUAAGUACCAAGGCAAAGGCACUAUGUAUCGAACGAUUGAAAAACCAAAAGCUUUUUUUGACGAAUAAAAGAAAUUCAGUCGCUAUAUAUUGAUUCACCAAAAAAGAAAUAAGUACCUAAACAGACGCGCAAAAAGAAAAAAAUGAUGCGAAGUGGUAUAAAUAAAGAAAACAAAAGAACUAUAUGUAUAAAUAUUGCAGAUACGAAGAAGGUAUAUAUUAUAAAGGUAUAAAUACGAUUAUUAUUAUGAUUAUCAUUAUUAUUAUUACCACACUAAACGAAACGUAAAAUUAAUUUUGUAGUGUCCAAGCAGCAUGUAAACUAAGUGUACACACGUACGAGUAUAAUGCGUAUAAAAAAAGAGAGAAAAAGAGAGAGUACGACGACAAAGACGUACGAUGAUUGUGUGAUUGAGAGGACGAAGGCGGCCAAAAAGUCGCGCGCGAUGCUGUAUACACAUGAUAUAAGUGAGAAAGAGAAGAAGAGAAAGACACAUUCACAGGUGAAAAAAAAGAAUGAGAGGAAACACGAACUCACACACAGAAACACACGCGUAUAAACACGACGAACGAUAUGAUUUAUAUGUAUUAUGGGCGCCGGCAAUGGCUAUAAUGAUAAAUAUAGUAUUACCUGCUAUUGCGUCGACGAGUCUAAACCAUAUUGUAUUAUAUAUAAGAGUCUGUCCAUAUUAAUAAUAAUGAUAUUAAUUAUAAUAACUGUGUUUGAGAACGAGAAAUAAAAUGUGGUUGAAUAUGAAAAUGAAUAUACGUGAUCUCGUGUGUUGCAAACAAUUACAUUCACGCAUGCAUCACAUACUUUUCGUUUUUCAUUCGUUUUGUUAUACAAUAUAUUUUUACUGCUCGAGCAUAUUCGUUUUACAAGAGAAAUCUCGAAGAAUCUUGGUCAGUUCGUUCGUUGGCCUCGGGCAACGCGACGAGAGAGGGAGUGCGAAUAUCAGCGGCCGCGAGUUUCGUCAGGUGGGUAUACGGCCCUGGGGGGUCCAGCAGUCUCUCUCUCUCUCUCUCUCUCACUCUUAAUCUCGAGUUUGCAUUCACACGUUAUAUCGGCACCGCGGAAGGAACCAUUGUAUAAUCCAAGAUGGCCUCCACCUCGGAGAGGAUUAUUAUUGGCUAAUACGAGUCGAGAGGCUCCGCCUUGGCUCAUGGCUCGUGACGGGAUGAUUUAUUGGCUUUUCUGUCUGUUCGCGUAUAACCCGUGCAGCAGCAGCAGAACACGCUGCUGCAGCCUCCUCUCUCCUCUCUCUGUAUACCUAUCUCUAUUCCUCUCCUGCGCCUUGGCUGUGCGCUCGGACUGCCGUGAAGAAGCUCGGAGUCGGUCUGCGCUCGCUUCUGAUUGUGACGUCUCGUGCAGGGCUCGCUCUCGAUGAACUUUCCAUGCACCGCUCUGAGGAUGCUGCUCGGAGGCCAUUGUUCCCCCGUCAUCUGCGUGAUGCAUUGCGCUGGGACCUAUCUUGGAUUCUGCGUCAGAAGGAAUUUUAGUUUGUUUUAUUUUUUGAAUUUUUGCCCCGUAUCGUUUGCGAUUCGCAAAAAUUUUAAGUUUGAAAAUUCAUAUAAUUUACGUAUUACCAUAUUCGAAAUUAUUCCAAACUCCGCCAGAUAUCAAGAUCGCCAGCUCUCACGAAAAUUGAGAAAUAUCCUUCCCUUCACUUUAUCAGCAAACGAUUUCAUCCGAUUCCGCUUGUCUCUCCCCAUCCCAUACACUCCGCAGCUCAGCGUAUAUAAUCAAUACGCUACAUACACAUCACUUGUUCCGGCGUAUACGUUUUUCGCAAAAUCGCGCACGCAUCAUCAUCAUCAUCAUCAUCAUUUCUCUAUACAUUCGCUCGGCGAUGUAUCAUUAAAUCGCUCGGGCUUAUUAUAUCAGUGGCAUCGACUCAACUAUUUACCCCCUCCCCCUCCCCCCUCCCUCUCGAUAUAUACAUAUACAUAUUUUCAAUCUCGCAACUAUCGGUUGGCCAUCGCCAUCGGGGCUCCGCACACGCCCGAGAGAUGGGAACACGCAAGAAGAAGAAGAAUAAGAAGGAGACGAGGACGAAAAGAGCCAACGUCCGAUUACCAACAUCGAGAGAGAGAGAGAGAGAGAGAGAGAGAGAGAGAGAGAGAGAGAGAGACCGCUCAACGUCUCAUUACGUACUACACGCUCGAUAUUAUCUUCAUCAAGACAGCUCCGAAGAAGACGAGUCGAGUCGAGCCGAUCCGCCGGUGAAAACAGGUGUCUCGCAAGCCUUGCAGUCCAGCAGCGCAAACUGCGUUAUAAUACAGCCAGCGCACGUCUGCCCAUACGCUGCAGUGUAUGGAUAGAGCGAUCAAGUGCUAGCCCAGAGGAUCGCACGAUCAAGCGGCUGUAAGCUGAUGGAAAGGAUGCGCGCGUGUGUACGACGACGAGCUGCUGAUGACGACUUUCUGCCUUGGCCUUGGGACGACGCCCUCGCAGGUGCAGCAACGGCGGAUGGGUAGUGGCACAACCUUACCGCACGUCCUGCACAGCGCAGAGAGGAAGAGCACUGGCUGCUCCACAUUUACGCGAGAGCGAGACAGGCUGCAGCCCACGAAGGAGGUGAAACUUACCUAGCGAAGCAUAGGCCCUUGCCGCGAAAGGAGAAGAGAGAGAGAGAGAGGACGGCGGUCAGAAUUUAUGGGCGCUUUAUCACUUUUCCGGCCUUGCCUCGCCUCGUCGUCUACUUUAGCGGCCGCCAGUCGACGAGGAUUUCGGGAUGAACUUUGGCACUAGCACUCGACUACAGCGUAGCACGCAGCGCCGUCUGACCUACAACGAAGCCCGUUGUUCGGUGCACGGGGGAUGCACUCGAGAGAUUGGCACGAUGAUGGAUGUGGCCGUCCCAGAUGGGAUGUCGAAGUUUUUCUUCGGCGAACGUAGUUUAAUCGAAGAGUGCUACUACUACUACUGCUGGAAAAGGAAAUCGAGAGAUUUGCAUUUGUCUCUCGUGUGCUAGUUAAUUUUUUUUCGAACAUUCUCGGAGGCGUACGCGUGAAUUAUUUAUGUAACACAAAGCACGAUUUCUCGCACGUGCAUAUGUUAAGCGAGCUGUGCUUAUAAUACAGCGGGCAGCUUGUUUAUGGAGGAAAGAGUGUGAACUCGGUGUGACUCAGUGAGACGGAACAUUAAAAUUGAUGUCUUUCUUCUAGCUGCAACUUGGAACUGCCCGUCACAGCAGAAACAACUGAGCUAUGUCCAAGUGUGCGUGAAUUUGAUUUUCAGAGAUUGUUCGUCGAGAAAUGUGUAUUAAUUGAUAUUUAUCCAUUUUAAUUUUCUCACAGUGUUACACCACUAAAAACUCAUCACUCUGUAUAAAAGUACUAGAAAAAUAAAUCAUCCUCUCUGGGCAGUAACACAAAAAAAAA